AAGGGCACCACAAGAACGCGUGGAGCAUGUGGCUUAAUUUGACUCAACGCGGGAAAUCUUACCGGGUCCGGACACACUGAGGAUUGACAGGCAAUCUACCAAUUUGAAUAUUAAUUGGUGCUUCGGCAUUAAUUAAUAUUUAAAUUGCUGCAAACAUGAAGGUUCUUUCAUGAUUGUGUGAUAGGUGGUGCAUGGCCGUUCUUAGUUCGUGGAGUGAUUUGUCUGCUUAAUUGCGUUUAUCACUCAGAGUUUUUCGUUUUGAAUUUAUUUUGUCUUACUUUUGCUUCUUUUUUUUUUUUAAAAAAAAGAGAGGUUUGAGGUUUGAUUAAAAUAAAUUCAAGGGAGCUCUGCUUUGCAACGAACGUGACCGCAACCCCUUGUUGCCUUUCUUACAUAAACCUUGUAUAUUUAAAUUCUUCAUUGAGUUUAGAUAUAUUUAUGGUUAGUAAAGGGAAACUAGGGGGACUGCUGACUUUUCAAAUCAGAGGAAGGUUGCGGCAAUAACAGGUCUGUGAUGCCCUCAGAUGUUCCGGGCUGCACACGUGCUACAAUGAUUAUUUCACUGAGCAUCUUUGAAUUAAGUUCGCUUUAAAGGAUUAUUUUGUUAAAUUAACUUUUAGUUAAUUUGGCAAAAUGCCUUUUAUAGCGACGAGCCUGCUUCGAAAGUUGCAGGUAAUCAAUUCGAAGUAAUGAUUUCCCUUGCACAUCUCCAUAUGUUGCUUGAGCUUUCACAAAAUAGUUUACUAUUUUAUGAAUGUUUCAAGUGGCAUGUGCGUCAUUAAUUCGUGGUGGGGACAGACCAUUGUUAAUUCUUGGUCUCGUCUUAACUAGGAAUGCCUCGUACGGGUUUUUGGUUCACCAGACCACCCGGAAUAUGUCCCUGCCCUUUGUACACACCGCCCGUC
rnacentral:rRNA from 1 species